rnacentral:misc_RNA from 1 species
AGGCACAUCCGCGCAUUCGUAUAGAGAAACUAGAAGAGAAGGUAGAGUCAGGACGCGGGGAGGGGGAGCACUCGCAUCAAUCCUUUGCUUGCUCGCUUCGUUCUUUUAGAGUACUUGUGCGUGUCCAUGUCUGCACCUGCGCACGCGUGUCGGUGUAUCGUUGUUUCUUCCCCUCCCUCUGUCUCAGGGCAUGCCCUCGCCGGUGUACAGCUGCGCAUACAUCCGUUUACCGUUUUUUUUUGUUCGUGGACAAGCCAACGCGCUUUCUGCAUGUAGACAGACCGACCGAUCGACGCACACGCAGAAGAACCUACAGAGCGACAGGGGUGCUUCGCUGUCACACGUUCGCGUAAACUCGCACAGACUUCGAAAAGAGCUUCGGUGCCUUGGCGCACAGAACACCCCCUUUUUCCCCCCACGUCACGCAAGCCCACUUGUGAGUGUCCCUCAUGUCGGUCCCACCGUGCACCUAUACCGACAGCAGGCCUUGGCAGACUCGCAUGAUUGCUUUUUGUCGUGACUGCAGUGCUCUCGCCGCUACCUUCUCUUCUGAGCUGCGGUAGAUAUUUUCAGACACCAUCAGCUUCGCACCGUGACAUGCCGGUGGGCAGUAGGGCAGUUGGCCUGUGUGCCGGUUUCUGCUGGUUUUAUCGACUUCCUCAAGUAGGCUGGCGCAGACGUCGAGCAGCCCUCAUUCGAGCUGCAGCCGCUUGAGUGAGCCGCCUGUGCCAGUGGAACACCGAGCGUGCACCUAGAGUAAUUUGAAUCACACACAGAGUAACUCACUCGCUGGCCCUUCUCUAUAACAGUACACAUGCCACCGAGCGGUCUGUCCCAGGUGCAGAGGUCGCGACACAUUACCGCCUCCACCCACGUGCUCGCCACUCGUCUCACGCACAACACGGCGGAGCGUGUGACUGUUGGCAACACACCCCUCCACAUUCUUCAUCUCUGCGAUGUGCAGUGCGUCGCCCCACUCUUUGCCUCGUGCGUGUCGCUCACCACCAUGACGAUUCACUUGAAAUACGUGGCGUCGUCGACGGCACUGGAGGCGCUGCUGUGUGCGGCGGCAACAUCCCCGACUCUGACGCACAUCUCUGUGAUAGGUGGGGUAACUUCGAUGGAGUCCGUGGCCGUGGCAUCUGGGCUUGCGGCGUUCACGUGGAAUGAGAGGGUGCACGCGCAAAGAGUGUUGCGUGCCGAUGCCACCUCUGAUUCGCCGCUUCCGCGCACAGUUCGCCGCGUGCCGUCCGCGCUGGAGGUCUACCCUGUCAUGAGCGGUCGGGGCGGAGAGCCAGGAAACGCGCGUUGGCGUCGGUACCCGUCCUCCGACCGAUCAGCGGCUCUUUCUCCGUAUGCGCGCACUCCUCCUCUCGCGCAUCUGCGGCCGAAGCGAUGCGCGAACAGCGAGUGUGGCGUGCCACCGCCACCCAGCGCUUCCUCACGCCCCUCCCAAUGGAGACUGCGAAGGGGUGGUGUGAUGUGGCCGGUACUCUACACAGUCUCUCCGCGGGUCAUGCCGGUUUCGCAUCCGGCGUCACUGGCAUCGUCUCCGGUUUUUCUGCGUACCCCUCCGCAUGUGAGACCGCUUUCUGACCACCACCUUGAAGGUGGGGUUCACCUCACUCUUGAGCUGCACAGGCUGGAGGAGGCUACAGCGGCGCUGCUGUUGGACGGACUGCGCAGGGCCCAUCGCAUCAUCUCGGCAGAGGUGCGACUGUGCGUGGUGACUGUGGAUGCGCGGCGCGCAGGGCAGCGUCUGGCCCACGAGGCAACAAAAGCAGCGGCACAUCACCGCCAGCAGCGAUUACUGCGCUUGACGCAGUCUGCGGCGAGUGCCGCUGCGCGUCCGCGUCGCCUUCCGCAGGCGAGAGCGAAGGGGCAAGACGGUGUUGCUCGCUGUCGAUGGCCACCACACACCAGUGGUCUGCGGGUCUCUCCCAGACCGGGCUUGCGCACCCCAGUCCCACCGCCACCUUCACCGCCGCAGCGUCCUCCUGCAUCACCGCGGCCAGUGACGGCAGUAGAACCAGAUGCCAGGUGCGCGAAUCAAGGAGGGCGCAGACCACUGCUCUCCGUAGAGGCGCGUGGCCCACACCAGCAGACGGCGAGGCGCCACGUGCAACGGCUUGCACCAAGGUGUCCAAUAGAGGGUGUUGCGCUUCCCUGGAAAAGUUGCGGCACACCUGUGCAGCCGCGCACGCCUCUGAAGCCGUCGCCAUCCUCUGCGGCUGGUGGGGGCGCAACUAUGAGGGCUCACCGUCCCGUCCUCUCCGACAAUGAGCGGGUAGCUGUACAGACCAGCCAGGCCGAUGCUUUCCGUCGUCGGGGCCGGCACGCCUCUCCUCCGCCCGCGGGAGUUGGAGCAAACGCCCUUUCCGGUCUCGUGUCACCGCAUCAACAUCUGGCGCGGGCUGGCCGGCUCUACAGCCCCCCGCGAUGGGUGAGUCGUGCCCAGCUGCUUGCUAACGGUGCCGCGCCUCCUGCACUGCCACUCUCCAAGGUAGCGUUUUGCCCCACCCCCCGAAGCGCUUCCGCGCAGGGCACUUUAUCGCCUGCUGGAUUGCAGCUUGAGCCUUGCGCAUCCUCAUCCUCCUCGUGGUCGUCGCGGUCGUCAUCGCCACUACCGCGGCCACCGCAGCCGUCGCCGCGCCGAGCCGCCGAGGCCUUCGCGAACUUUGUGGCCCGGGAACAGGCAGUGGAGGAUGAGAAAGGGGAACACGCCACGCGGCCAGCUCAGCGAACACCGCCGGGCUCCGUCUCCGCGCGCCUCGAACGGCGCAGUCUCCGCCGGCUUGCCUCCUCUGCUCGCGCACCUCACUCACCUCAGUCCUACCCUGACGCUCUUUGCUCUCCGCGGUACUGUGUUCGCCGCGGGAGUGACAGCCUGGGUCUGGGGGCAGGGCAUCGCCGCAUCCCUCGCCCGCAGACGCCGCCUCGCUGCUCUUCCUCUCGGUGCACUUGCUUUGUGUGUCGCUCUCGCCCGCCGCGAUCUCCGGUGGCGAGCGCACGACCGACGCCGCGUACGGCAACGCCAGCAAACUUGGAGAACGCGAUACUGGCUCUUGCGGCAGCGACGGCUAGUGCGCCGCGACCACGGCAAACCCAUAAGCACGAUGUGACUUCUGCACGCGAAGGCAGGGAUGAUGGUGACGUCACGCCUACGACGCACUCGGCGGCGACGUCGGUGAACGGCAUUACACCGACACGGAGACGGAGCGGAGGAGAACGAGAGAGCGACAGUGCCGCCGCUUUUCACGAGGCCGCGACUUCCGCGUCUUCCUCGUCGCGACGCGCCUCCCGCAGCGCUCACGCGGCGGCAGACAGCGUGCACCGAUCCCUGAGUAUGGACCUCGGGGAAGGCGACCAUUCCAGCGCUCGACACAGUAGGGCGCGUGCGCGGAUGGAGCCGGCAGCGCACAGAUGCGAAGGAUCGCACUUGCAGGUCUCGCACACCCAGAUGCCCUCGUCUGUGUCGCUGCAGUCUCCUGAGCAUCAACAGCGUGACGAGGAGGUGGGUUACGUAGUGUACCAGAACUCUGUGGCUUUCCUGCGCGCGCGUGUGACGGAGAUCAACCGGCAUGUGGUGUGGCACCAGGUUCAGUCAGCUAAGGCCGUUGAGGCGCAUUCGAAGAGACUGGCGGAGCUGGGGGUGACGUUUUCCGACCGAGUCACGGAGGAGCUGACAAACAUCUUGAUGGUGCUCACCGACAUGGAGCACGGAUCUCGCAUUGGCAGCCGACGCUGAAGUGCCUCUUCGCCUUUUCGCUCGUGCGUGCCCUGUGAGCGGCAUGGCUUCUUUCCGUGCGGCGCGCUGCCGCUUCUCGUUUUCUGCGGCGCAUUUCGUUUGUAUUUUUUUUUUUCGCUGUCGUUUUGUUGUAUCAUCGUGUGUCUUGCGCCCAUUCCGCUUUCCUCUCUGCUAGUCGCCACGGAUCGCACAGGCAUGCCCGCGUUGCAUGUCUCUGCCAGUGAGCACAG